rnacentral:rRNA from 1 species
CCUACGGGAGGCAGCAGUGGGGAAUAUUGCACAAUGGGCGCAAGCCUGAUGCAGCCAUGCCGCGUGUGUGAAGAAGGCCUUCGGGUUGUAAAGCACUUUCAGCGGGGAGGAAGGCGUUAAGGUUAAUAACCUUGGCGAUUGACGUUACCCGCAGAAGAAGCACCGGCUAACUCCGUGCCAGCAGCCGCGGUAAUACGGAGGGUGCAAGCGUUAAUCGGAAUUACUGGGCGCAAAGCGCACGCAGGCGGUCUGUCAAGUCGGAUGUGAAAUCCCCGGGCUCAACCUGGGAACUGCAUUCGAAACUGGCAGGCUAGAGUCUUGUAGAGGGGGGUAGAAUUCCAGGUGUAGCGGUGAAAUGCGUAGAGAUCUGGAGGAAUACCGGUGGCGAAGGCGGCCCCCUGGACAAAGACUGACGCUCAGGUGCGAAAGCGUGGGGAGCAAACAGGAUUAGAUACCCCUGUAGUC